GCCUUCUUCGUCUAUCGGUUAGGACGUUACAUUUUCAUUGUAAAGAGAUGGGUUCGACUCCCGUAGAGGGU
rnacentral:tRNA from 1 species